UACGUAGGGUGCGAGCGUUAAUCGGAAUUACUGGGCGUAAAGCGCACGUAGGCGGACUAUUAAGUCAGGGGUGAAAUCCCGGGGCUCAACCCCGGAACUGCCUUUGAUACUGGUAGUCUCGAGUCCGGAAGAGGUGAGUGGAAUUCCGAGUGUAGAGGUGAAAUUCGUAGAUAUUCGGAGGAACACCAGUGGCGAAGGCGGCUCACUGGUCCGGUACUGACGCUGAGGUGCGAAAGCGUGGGGAGCAACAGG
rnacentral:rRNA from 1 species